rnacentral:rRNA from 1 species
AUUGAACGCUAGCGGGAGGCUUUACACAUGCAAGUCGAACGAGUGGCGGACGGGUGAGUAAUAUAUCGGAACGUGCCCAGUAGCGGGGGAUAACUACUCGAAAUAGUGGCUAAUACCGCAUACUAUUGGAGCGGCCCAUAUGGGCUUAGCUAGUUGGUGGGGUAAAGGCUCACCAAGGCCACGAUCCGUAGCUGGUUUGAGAGGAUGACCAGCCACACUGGGACUGAGACACGGCCCAGACUCCUACGGGAGGCAGCAGUGGGGAAUUUUGGACAAUGGGGGAAAGCCUGAUCCAGCCAUACCGCGUGUAUGAGAAGGCCUUCGGGUUGUAAAGUACUUUUGGCAGAGAAGCGUUAUCUGCAGAAUAAGCACCGGCUAACUACGUGCCAGCAGCCGCGGUAAUAA